GAGUCCAGCCAGCUGCGAGAGCUCUCCAUUUGCCUCUUCAGAGAGCGGGUGCAGUCAGUGAUGGCGCACGACAAGAAGAGGAUUAAGAGCUACGUGCACCGUGCACUGCUCCCCCUCUUCUUUCGUUUGAGCGAUCAGAACAACAACGUGGCCAAGGCCGCCAGGGAAGCCCUCCUUGGUGCAGCAGAGCUCCUGAAAUGGAAGCAGCUCAGACACCUAGUGCGGACUCAGCAGACAUGGAGGAUUGGAGAGAGCUUGCUGGAGCAGGACAGGAGCAGGGCUCAAGAGCUCUUGAGUCAGAGCCUGCCAUACCUGAGGGAUGCUCAGGCCAGCUUGCGAGAGGCGGCCGUGAGGUUCAUCGGUGAGUCACAGCCCCAGGGUCCCUCUCUUGGCAGCCUGGCCCCAGUCCCCACUGCUGCCCUGGCACAAGGAGCAGCCCUGUGGCUUCAGAACCCCAGCUGCCCCGUGCAGGGCCUUGGCCUCCCCUCCCAGCCCUGCCCACACAGGUGGCCUUGGUGGCUGCCUUGCUCAGUCCCGCUAUGUCAGCUCUGGGGUAUCCCUGGGGCCAGCUCUGAUGAGGGGGAGGGAACAGGGGUCUGAUGGAACUCUGUGCCCAGGGCUGGCUGCGCGGCCCCUGAGGGACCGAAGGGAGGAGGAGAAGCUGGCUGAGAUCUGCAGCGGUGAGUAGGGAGCCUGGUCAGGAGGGGAUGCCUGGGUGUCUCUGCAGAUGUGGGAGAUCAUCUGGGCUCUGCUUCUUUCUGUUGCAGCCCUUCGGCCCUUGGAGACGGACAGUAAACCCUUCGUCCGCUCCCUCGCUGCUCAGACCAUUGUCAUCCUGAGCAGUCCAAGGGAGCAGCCACGAUCACGAUGGGCCCUGCAAGCCCUGUGCUGCUGGCGUCGCUGACCCAGGUGGAGGAGCAGCUCUG